rnacentral:lncRNA from 1 species
UCAUUUUCCGGGUACGAAGUUCGUGGCGAAGGCCCACGCGUUGUUGUUAACCGGGUCCGCAAGGUGGUCGGCGAGGUUCUCCAACGGCCCCUUUCCGGUAACAAUCGCCUGAACAAAGAAUCCGAACAUCGAGAACAUCGCAAGUCUCCCAUUCUUUAGCUCCUUCACCUUCAGCUCAGCAAAAGCUUCCGGGUCCUCAGCGAGGCCCAACGGGUCGAAGCUCCCACCCGGGUAAAGCGGGUCGACAACCUCACCGAGUGGCCCACCGGCAAUUCUGUAGCCCUCAAUAGCUCCCAUCAACACAACCUGGACACCCCAGAUGGCCAGUAUGCUCUGUGCGUGGACCAAGCUAGGGUUUCCCAAAUAAUCGAGCCCACCCUCACUGAAUAUCUGCGAUCCGGCCUUGAACCAAACCGCCUCGCCGAAUUUCACGCCGUUGCGCGCUAGAAGCUCGGGGAAGACGCAUCCGAGAGCUCCGAGCAUGGCCCACCUUGAGUGGAUCACCUCAAGUUCACGGUUCUUGGCGAAUGUUUCCGGGUCGGCCGAAAGCCCCGCGGUGUCCCAGCCGUAGUCACCGGGGAAUUCCCCGCUGAGGUAGCUGGGGGCCUCGCCGGAGAAUGGGCCCAAAUACUUGACACGGUCCGGGCCGUACCACGGGCUCCCGGACGAAGCGGGCUUGGGCUUGGGCUUGCCUGCGGUCUUCCUCAUUGAGAUCCUGCCGCCGGAGCUGGCGAAUUCGGGGGUCGACUUGACCGCCUGGCCGGCGAAAGACGGAGACGAUAGAGCCAUUGAAGAGGCCGCCAUUGAAGGAAGGGGAGUGUGUUUUUUUUUUCUUUUUGGGGUUUGUGAGUUGAAAG